rnacentral:tRNA from 1 species
GUGGGCAUGGACGGCGGCGGGCACGGUGAUCGCCUGCUACGCGGCCCUGUCCCGUCGGCUGUCGACGACGGUGGUGUCCGGACCCCUGGUGUUCAUG